GGGGAGUGGCAGAAGCAGCGUGGCUGCAGAGGGCUGUGGAGCAGGGCAGCAGCAGAGCAGUAUCUUCCCUCCUGCUGCAAACUUCAUUUGAAUGUGAAACCUCAUCCCCAUCCCCAGCCCCUCUGCUCUGUAACAAGGGAGAGUAUAGAGAUGGAGUCUGCUUUUGCCCAGAGGAAUGGACAGGACAACAUUGUGAGACAGCUAAUUUCUGUGAAGAUAGUACUUACGUAGUCAACUCUUCAAAAAAGUUUACUUUUACAAGAAUUGUAGUAGACAGAUUUGGCUAUUCUGCAGAAAAAUGUGAAAACAACACUGUAAAUGCUGGUACUCCAAAAGCAAGCCGGAAGUGCAUCAAAAUAGGAAGA